AUGGACAUGAGGGCCCCCACUCAGCUGCUGGGGCUCCUGCUGCUCUGGCUCCCAGGUGCCAGAUGUGCCGACACCGUGAUGACCCAGACUCCAGCCUCCACGUCUGCAGCUGUGGGAGGCACAGUCACCAUCAAUUGCCAGGCCAGUCAGAGCAUUUACAGCUACUUAUCCUGGUAUCAGCAGAAACCAGGGCAGCCUCCCAAGCUCCUGAUCUACAAGGCAUCCACUCUGGCAUCUGGGGUCCCAUCGCGGUUCAAAGGCAGUGGAUCUGGGACACAGUUCACUCUCACCAUCAGCGGCGUGCAGUGUGAGGAUGCUGCCACUUACUACUGUCAAAGCAAUUAUGGUAGUAGUAGUAAUGGUUACACAGUGAUACUGAAGGAAAUUAGACAGGUUUAA